CAGGCUAGAGGGCAUCAGAGCAGGAGUGGAGUGUCAGGAGUAUCGAUAUAAUGUGCAGAUAUCGGGAGGAACACCUAUGUCGAGUCCAGCUCCUUGGGAUGUGCGUGACGCUAUGAGGCGCAAGCUAGGGGAGCGAACAGGAUUAUAGACCAUGGUAGUCAUAGCUCUAAACUCUAGGUGCUAGUCGUGGGACGUAGAAGUAAUUUGCCCGAGCAAACGAGAUAAGCACGCUUCCUUGUAAUUCCGGUCACAAGGAUAAAACUCGAAGGAAUUGCAUGACCGCCGCACAAGCAGUGGUGAGUUUGUUUUACUUGGAUGCUACACGAAGAGCCUUACCUGGGUUUAACAUGUAAGGAGGAUGAAGGCGAAAUCCUAAGGACCGUUGGGGGAGCGUACACAGGUCCUGCAUGGCUGUCGUCAGCUCUUGCCGUGAGGUGUCGAGUUAAAUCCCGUAACGAGCGCAACCCUUGCCGUGAGUUCCAAGUGUUUAAGGUGACUCUCGGCGGGAAGCCCGAGGGGGAUGGGGACGAGGUGACGUCACCUCAUUUCUUAUGUCCAGGGUUACACACACGGUACAAUGGUCAGAACAAAGGGUAGUGAAGUCGCGAGGCGGAGCGAAUCUCAACCAAACUGAUAGUAGUUCGGAUUGCUGGUUGCAACCCGCCUGCCUGAAGCUGGAAAUGGUAGGAACCGCGCGUCCGCCAUAGUGCGGUGAAUACGUACCCGGGCCUUGUACACCCCGCCCGUCACGUCACGGGAGUCGGUAACGCCUGAACCCGGUAGUCUAUCCCGCCCGGGGGGGCGCUGCUGAAGGCGCGACUGGAAAGUGUGACGAAGUCGUAACAAGGUAACCAAGGGCGAA
rnacentral:rRNA from 1 species